AUUGAACGCUGGCGGCAUGCCUUACACAUGCAAGUCGAACGGUAACAGGUCUUCGGAUGCUGACGAGUGGCGAACGCGUGAGUAAUACAUCGGAACGUGCCCGAGAGUGGGGGAUAACGAAGCGAAAGCUUUGCUAAUACCGCAUACGAUCUCAGGAUGAAAGCAGGGGACCGCAAGGCCUUGCGGUCACGGAGCCGCCGAUGGCCGAUUAGGUAGUUGGUGGAAUAAAAGCUUACCUAGCCGACGAUCUGUAGCUGGUCUGAGAGGACGACGAGCCACACUGGGACUGAGACACGGCCCAGAGUCCUACGGGAGGCAGUAGUGGGGAAUGUUGGACAAUGGGCGCAAGCCUGAUCCAGCCAUGCCGCGUGCAGGAUGAAGGCCUUCGGGUUGUAAACUGCUUUUGUACGGAACGAAAAGACUCUGGUUAAUACCUGGGGUCCAUGACGGUACCGUAAGAAUAAGCACCGGCCAACUACGUGCCAGCCGCCGCGGUAAAAC
rnacentral:rRNA from 1 species